rnacentral:rRNA from 1 species
GAUGAACGCUAGCUACAGGCUUAACACAUGCAAGUCGAGGGGCAGCAUUUCAGUUUGCUUGCAAACUGGAGAUGGCGACCGGCGCACGGGUGAGUAACACGUAUCCAACCUGCCGAUAACUCGGGGAUAGCCUUUCGAAAGAAAGAUUAAUACCCGAUGGUAUAAUCAGACCGCAUGGUCUUGUUAUUAAAGAAUUUCGGUUAUCGAUGGGGAUGCGUUCCAUUAGGCAGUUGGUGAGGUAACGGCUCACCAAACCUUCGAUGGAUAGGGGUUCUGAGAGGAAGGUCCCCCACAUUGGAACUGAGACACGGUCCAAACUCCUACGGGAGGCAGCAGUGAGGAAUAUUGGUCAAUGGGCGCAGGCCUGAACCAGCCAAGUAGCGUGAAGGAUGACUGCCCUAUGGGUUGUAAACUUCUUUUAUAUGGGAAUAAAGUUUUCCACGUGUGGAAUUUUGUAUGUACCAUAUGAAUAAGGAUCGGCUAACUCCGUGCCAGCAGCCGCGGUAAUACGGAGGAUCCGAGCGUUAUCCGGAUUUAUUGGGUUUAAAGGGAGCGUAGGUGGACAGUUAAGUCAGUUGUGAAAGUUUGCGGCUCAACCGUAAAAUUGCAGUUGAUACUGGCUGUCUUGAGUACAGUAGAGGUGGGCGGAAUUCGUGGUGUAGCGGUGAAAUGCUUAGAUAUCACGAAGAACUCCGAUUGCGAAGGCAGCUCACUGGACUGCAACUGACACUGAUGCUCGAAAGUGUGGGUAUCAAACAGGAUUAGAUACCCUGGUAGUCCACACAGUAAACGAUGAAUACUCGCUGUUUGCGAUAUACAGUAAGCGGCCAAGCGAAAGCAUUAAGUAUUCCACCUGGGGAGUACGCCGGCAACGGUGAAACUCAAAGGAAUUGACGGGGGCCCGCACAAGCGGAGGAACAUGUGGUUUAAUUCGAUGAUACGCGAGGAACCUUACCCGGGCUUAAAUUGCAUUUGAAUAUAUUGGAAACAGUAUAGCCGUAAGGCAAAUGUGAAGGUGCUGCAUGGUUGUCGUCAGCUCGUGCCGUGAGGUGUCGGCUUAAGUGCCAUAAGGAGCGCAACCCUUAUCUUUAGUUACUAACAGGUCAUGCUGAGGACUCUAGAGAGACUGCCGUCGUAAGAUGUGAGGAAGGUGGGGAUGACGUCAAAUCAGCACGGCCCUUACGUCCGGGGCUACACACGUGUUACAAUGGGGGGUACAGAAGGCAGCUACCUGGUGACAGGAUGCUAAUCCCAAAAGCCUCUCUCAGUUCGGAUCGAAGUCUGCAACCCGACUUCGUGAAGCUGGAUUCGCUAGUAAUCGCGCAUCAGCCAUGGCGCGGUGAAUACGUUCCCGGGCCUUGUACACACCGCCCGUCAAGCCAUGAAAGCCGGGGGUACAUGAAGUACGUAACCGCAAGGAGCGUCCUAGGGUAAAA